GCGAACCUAUCCACAUUUCCUCUGGAAAAGACAAUAUCUUGAUUAUGUUGGAAUGUCUCCAGAAAGAAGAUGGAAACAUCUCAUCUUCGCUGUCCUGGCUUCCAGAGGUGUUCAUGCAGAAGACUGGACACAGGACCCUUGGUGGCACCAGUGUGUGGAUGAGCAGAUAGUGACUGAUCGCCACUGGGAUAGAAUAUGAACUCCUUCUUUAGAGAGUUGACCAUUUUUUAAUUAUUUUGCAUGGUGCUGAACCUGCUGAGAGCUCAUGAUAAACAGGUCUUCUGUGAGUACACUGACAAUUUCAAACACUACACUAGGAACUGAAUUUGGAUAAAUCAUAACCUGCCCCAGGGGCUCACUUCUAGGGGAGGCGACAGACAGGUAAUUGCACAAUUAUAAUAUUAUGUAACAAUUAUAAUUAUAACAUACUAUAUAAUGUUCUAGGCCC